rnacentral:rRNA from 1 species
AACGAACGCUGGCGGCACGCUUAACACAUGCAAGUCGAACGGAGUAUAGACUUCGGUUUAUACUUAGUGGCAAACGGGUGAGUAACGCGUGGGAAUCUGCCCAUCAGUGGGGAACAACUUCGGGAAACUGAAGCUAAUACCUCAUACGUCCUUAGGGAGAAAGACUUCGGUCGCUGAUGGAGGAGCCCGCGUUAGAUUAGGUAGUUGGUAGGGUAAUGGCCUACCAAGCCUACGAUCUAUAGCUGGUCUGAGAGGAUGGCCAGCCGCACUGGGACUGAGACACGGCCCAGACUCCUACGGGAGGCAGCAGUGGGGAAUAUUGGACAAUGGGGGAAACCCUGAUCCAGCGAUGCCGCGUGAGUGAAGAAGGCCUUCGGGUUGUAAAGCUCUUUCAGUGGGGAAGAUAAUGACGGUACCCACAGAAGAAGGACCGGCUAACUUCGUGCCAGCCGCCGCCGUAA